rnacentral:rRNA from 1 species
CAGCCGCCGCGGUAAUACGUAGGGUGCGAGCGUUAAUCGGAAUUACUGGGCGUAAAGGGCUCGCAGGCGGUUUCUUAAGUCUGAUGUGAAAGCCCCCGGCUCAACCGGGGAGGGUCAUUGGAAACUGGGAAACUUGAGUGCAGAAGAGGAGAGUGGAAUUCCACGUGUAGCGGUGAAAUGCGUAGAGAUGUGGAGGAACACCAGUGGCGAAGGCGACUCUCUGGUCUGUAACUGACGCUGAGGAGCGAAAGCGUGGGGAGCGAACAGGAUUAGAUACCCCCGUAGUCCCUGUCUCUUAUAA